UACGAAGGGGGCUGGCGUUGCUCGGAAUCACUGGGCGUAAAGGGUGCGUAGGCGGGUCUUUAAGUCAGAGGUGAAAUCCUGGAGCUCAACUCCAGAACUGCCUUUGAUACUGAGGAUCUUGAGUACGGGAGAGGUGAGUGGAACUGCGAGUGUAGAGGUGAAAUUCGUAGAUAUUCGGAAGAACACCAGUGGCGAAGGCGACUCGCUGGACAGAUAUUGACGCUGAGGUGCGAAAGCGUGGGGAGCAAACAGG
rnacentral:rRNA from 1 species